AUGCAGAUGCUCUCUCGCCAUCGCCAUGGGCGCCGCCUCCUCCAUUUCGCACUCAAGCCCCCACCUUUGUCCACCACAAACACGGCCAGCGCCCCGCCUCCGCCUCCCGUUUGCACCCCAGAUGCCGCCCCCCACAUCUUCUCGCUCGGCGACCACGACCCCGGCGCGCUAGCUCCCGACGACGCCAUCGCGGCACUCCCCUCCCUCGCGGAAUCCGAUGGCUCCGCUGCGGCGCUCGCCUUUUUCCGCCGCCUUGCGUCCCGCCCGGACGUGCGCCACCUCAUGCGCCUCUACGUCACCGCCGCGACCGCCUUCGUCGCGAGGGGCAGCCUCCCCAUGGCGCACGAGGCCAUGCGCCGGAUGGUCGCCGCCUUCGCCGAGGCGGGCCGUCUCCCGGAGGCCGCGGACAUGGUCUUCGAGAUGCGCAGCCACGGGCUUCCGUUCUGCGUCGAGACGGCCAACUGGAUCCUCAGGGGCGGGCUGGACACCAGGAACUUCGCCUACGCGCGCAAGGUGUUCGACGGAAUGGUGACCCGUGGUGGGGUGUGCCCUGAUGCGCGCAGCUUCCGGGCGCUGGUCCUAGGGUGCUGCAGGGAAGGCCGGGUGGAGGAGGUCGAAGCCUUGUUGGCGGCAAUGUGGGGGCAAGGGUUCUGCCUGGACAACGCGACAUGCACGGUGGUCGUGCGCACCUUCUGCAAGAAGGGCCGAUUUAGGGACGUGUCUGAGUUCUUCAGGAGGAUGCUGGAGAUGGGCACCCCACCAAAUGUGGUGAAUUACACUGUGUGGAUUGAUGGUUUGUGCAAAAGAGGGCAUGUCAAGCAGGCGUUCCGUGUACUGGAGGAGAUGGUCGGAAAAGGACUGAAGCCGAAUGUGUACACACACACGUCGCUGAUCGAUGGGCUCUGUAAGAUUGGGUGGACGGAGCGGGCGUUCAGGCUUUUCUUGAAGCUCAUCAAGAGUAGUUCAUACAAGCCGAAUGUGCAUACAUACACUGUGAUGAUUGGAGGGUACUGUAAUGAGGGUAAGCUUGCUCGAGCUGAGAUGCUUCUUGGAAGGAUGGUUGAGCAGGGGUUGGCACCAAACACAAACACAUACACUACGCUGAUCAGUGGCCACAGCAAAACAGGCAGCUUCGAUCGUGCCUUUGAGCUGAUGAAUAAGAUGACUCAUGAAGGCUUCCUGCCCAACAUUUACACAUACAAUGCUGUCAUUGAUGGCCUCCUCAAGAAAGGAAAAAUUGAAAAGGCCUACGAGGUGCUCCGGAGGGCCACUACUCAAGGGCUUGAGCUUGAUAAAGUGACAUAUACUAUAUUCAUAACUGAACACUGCAAACAAGGUCACAUAACAUAUGCUCUAGAUUUGUUCAACCGGAUGAUUGAAAAUGGUUGCCAUCCUGACAUAGAAACAUACACCACCCUUAUUGCUACAUAUUGCCAGCAGAGACAGAUGGAAGAAAGCGAAAAGCUGUUUGACAAGUGUCUCGCCAUAGAAUUAGUGCCAACCACACAAACUUAUACCUCAAUGAUUGCAGGCUACUGUAAAGUUGGCAAAUCAACCUCAGCUUUGAGAGUCUUUGAUAGAAUGGUUCAAAAUGGAUGCCUCGCUGACUCUGUAACUUAUGGAGCUCUAAUAAGUGGGCUCUGCAAGGAAUCGAGACUAGAGGAAGCACGGGCAUUAUAUGAAGGCAUGCUUGAUAAACAUUUGGUGCCGUGUGAAGUAACUCCUGUCACUUUAGCUUUUGAAUAUUGCAGUAGGGAAAGGACAAGUGUUGCUCUAUCUAUCUUGGAUAGACUGGAUAAACGGCGACAGAUUCACGCAACAAAUGUGCUAGUUAGAAAGCUCAGUGCUACGGGAAAUGUGGAUGAUGCAAGUCUUUUCCUAAAAAGGGUUUUGGAUUGGGAUUCGGCUGUUGACCAUGUAACUUAUACUGGCUUCAUCAAUUCAUGCUGCGCGAACAAUAGACACGCCCUAGCUUCUGAAAUAUCUGAUAAGAUCUCGAAAAAAACCCUCUAG
rnacentral:rRNA from 1 species